AUUGAACGCUGGCGGCAGGCCUAACACAUGCAAGUCGAGCGGAUGAAGGGAGCUUGCUCCUGGAUUCAGCGGCGGACGGGUGAGUAAUGCCUAGGAAUCUGCCUGGUAGUGGGGGAUAACGUCCGGAAACGGGCGCUAAUACCGCAUACGUCCUGCGGGAGAAAGUGGGGGAUCUUCGGACCUCACGCUAUCAGAUGAGCCUAGGUCGGAUUAGCUAGUUGGUGGGGUAAAGGCCUACCAAGGCGACGAUCCGUAACUGGUCUGAGAGGAUGAUCAGUCACACUGGAGCUGAGACACGGUACAGACUCCGACGGGAGGCAGCGGUGGGGAAUAUUGGACAAUGUGCGAAAGCCUGAUCCAGCCAUGGCGCGUGUGUGAAGAAGGUCUGCGGAUUGUAAAGCACUUUAAGUUGGGAGGAAGGGCAGUAAGUUAAUACCUGGCUGUUUUGACGUUACCAGCAGAAUAAGCACCGGCUAACUUCGU
rnacentral:rRNA from 1 species